UACGUAGGUGGCAAGCGUUAUCCGGAAUUAUUGGGCGUAAAGCGCGCGCAGGCGGUUUCUUAAGUCUGAUGUGAAAGCCCACGGCUCAACCGUGGAGGGUCAUUGGAAACUGGGGAACUUGAGUGCAGAAGAGAAAAGCGGAAUUCCACGUGUAGCGGUGAAAUGCGUAGAGAUCGGCAGGAACACCCAGGGGGAAACCAGUGGACUGGGCAUGUGCUGACGCUCAGGUGCGAAAGCGUGGGGAGCGAACCGGG
rnacentral:rRNA from 1 species